rnacentral:tRNA from 1 species
GUUCCCGUAGUUGAAGUGGACAACAAUGGCUUUUCAGGCCAUAGAUCUUGGAAAAUAAGCCAAGCGGGAAUU